rnacentral:rRNA from 1 species
GGUUCGAUCAUGGCUCAAGAUUGAACGCUGGCGGGAUGCUUUACACAUGCAAGUCGAACGGCAGCACGGACUUCGGUCUGGUGGCGAGUGGCGAACAGGUGAGUAAUGUAUCGGAACGUGCCUAAUGUGGGCAGCCCUUCCCGCGAAAGCGUAGCUAAUACCACAUACGCCCUUCGGGGAAAGCAGGGGACAGCCGGGCCUCGCACUAUUAAACGGCCGAUAUCGGAUUAGCUAGUUGGUGGGGUAACGGCUCACCAAAGGCAGCGACGAUCCGUAGCUGGUUUGAAGGACGGCCGGCCACACUGGACUGAGACACAGCCCAGACUCCUACGGGAGAGGCAACGGUGAGGAAUUUUUGGACAAUAAAAACCUGAUCCGGCACUCCGUGAUGCGGUAGAAGGCCUUCCGGGUUGUAAAGCACUUUUGGCAGGAAAGAAACGGCACGGGAUAAUACCCCGUGCAGCCCCCUGACGGUACCUGCAGAAUAAGCACCGGCUAACUACGUGCCAGCAGCCGCGGUAAUACGUAGAGUGCAAGCGUUAAUCGGAAUUACUGGGCGUAAAGCGUGCGCGAGCGGUUCGGAAAGAAAGAUGUGAAAUCCCAGAGCUUAACUUUGGAACUGCAUUUUUUAACUUCACAAAAACCUAGAGUGUGUCAGAGGUGGAAUUCCGCGUGGCAAGUGAAAUGCGUAGAUAUGCGGAGGAACACACCGAUGGCGAAGAGCAGCCUCCUGGGAUAACACUGACGCUCAUGCACGAAAGCGUGGGAGCAAACAGGAUUAGAUACCCUGGUAGUCCACGCCUAAACGAUAUUGUAGCUAGCUGUUGGGGCCUUCGGGCCUUGGUAGCGCAGCUAACGCGUGAAGUUGACCGCCUGGGAAAUACGGUCGCAGAUUAAAACUCAAAGGAAUUGACGGGGACCCGCACAAGCGGUGGAUGAUGUGGAUUAAUUCGAUGCAACGCGAAAAACCUUACCUACCCUUGACAUGUCUGGAAUCCCGAAGAGAUUUGGGAGUGCUCGCAAGAACCGGAACACAGGUGCUGCAUGGCUGUCGUCAGCUCGUGUCGUGAGAUGUUGGGUUAAGUCCCGCAACGAGCGCAACCCUUCAGCCGUGGUUGCCAUACGAAAGGAGCCACUCUAAUGAGACUGCCGGUGACAAACCGGAGGAAGGUGGGGAUGACGUCAAGUCCUCAUGGCCCUUAUGGGUAGGGCUUCACACGUCAUACAAUGGUCGGGACCAGAGGGUCGCCAGCCGCGAGGGGGGAGCCAAUCCCAGAAACCCGAUCGUGAUCCGGAUCGCAGUCUGCAACUCGACUGCGUGAAGUCGGAAUCGCUAGUAAUCGCGGAUCAGCAUGUCGCGGUGAAUACGUUCCCAGGUCUUGUACACACCGCCCGUCACACCAUGGGAGUGGGUUUACCAGAAGUAGUUAGCCUAACCGUAAGGAGGCGAUUACCACGGUAGGAUUCAUGACUGGGGUGAAGUCGUAACAAGGU